UACGUAGGACCCAAGCGUUAUCCGGAAUUACUGGGCGUAAAGAGUUGCGUAGGUGGCAAAGUAAGCGAAUAGUGAAAGCGUAUGGCUCAACCAUAUAUACAUUAUUCGAACUGCUUAGCUAGAGAACGAGAGAGGUAGAUGGAAUUUCUAAUGUAGGGGUAAUAUCCGUAGAUAUUAGAAGGAACACCGAUGGCGUAGGCAGUCUACUGGCUCGUUUCCGACACUAAUGCACGAAAGCAUGGGGAGCAAACAGG
rnacentral:rRNA from 1 species